CUGGCUCAGAUUGAACGCUGGCGGCAUGCCUUACACAUGCAAGUCGAACGGCAGCACGGGAGCAAUCCUGGUGGCGAGUGGCGAACGGGUGAGUAAUGUAUCGGAACGUACCUUUCAGUGGGGGAUAACUAUCCGAAAGGAUAGCUAAUACCGCAUACGACCCGAGGGUGAAAGCGGGGGACCGAAAGGCCUCGCGCGAUUGGAGCGGCCGAUAUCGGAUUAGCUAGUUGGUGAGGUAAAGGCUCACCAAGGCGACGAUCCGUAGCUGGUCUGAGAGGACGACCAGCCACACUGGAACUGAGACACGGUCCAGACUCCUACGGGAGGCAGCAGUGGGGAAUUUUGGACAAUGGGGGCAACCCUGAUCCAGCCAUUCCGCGUGAGUGAAGAAGGCCUCGGUUGGUUAA
rnacentral:rRNA from 1 species